GAUGUUCAUUACUACUUAUUUGAUUCUCAUAGAUGCUGACAAUGAAUAAGGACAAAGCUUUUGGAGUUGUCUUCAAGACAUUCAAGAGGGAAUGCAGGUGAAGUACAGGACUUGGCACUUUGAUUUGGCAUUGGAAGAUUUGAAGAUGGUCGUUUGGAGGCUUGGAGAUGUGAAAGAUGCCAUGAUGAUUCCAACUUUAAAGUGAUUUGUGAACUAUAAGUUCUAUUUCAGAACUUAUAUAGCUGUUGAACCAUCUACUAUUGUUUUUUGUUGAAAUUUACUCAAGUUAUGCUGCUGAAAUGUGCUUGUUUUGCUGCUGAAAUGUUA